rnacentral:rRNA from 1 species
UACGGGGGGAGCAAGCGUUGUUCGGAUUUACUGGGCGUAAAGGGCGCGUAGGCGGCCAGCACAAGUCAGUUGUGAAAUCUCCGAGCUUAACUCGGAACGGUCAACUGAUACUGUGCGGCUAGAGUGCGGAAGGGGCAACUGGAAUUCUUGGUGUAGCGGUGAAAUGCGCAGAUAUCAGGAGGAACACCAAUUGCGAAGGCAGCUCGCUGGGACGGUACUGACGCUGAGACGCGAAAGCGUGGGGAGCAAACAGG